UGCAGCUCCGUCAGACUGUCACUGUGGACUGUAAAGUCAGUCAAACAGUUUAUCACUACUCUGGUUCACAAUACUACCUGGCCUGGUACCAUCAGAAAUCUGGAGAAGCUCCUAAAGCUCUGAUCUACAGAACGUCUGACAUAAAUUCAGGAGUCUCCCCCAGAUUCAGUGGAAGUGGAUCAGGGAAUGGGUUGGACUUCACUCUGACCAUCAGUGGAGUUGAGGCUGAAGAUUCAGGAGUUUAUUACUGUAAGAGUUAUCAUAAUAUCAACAGU